AGGCUGACUCUUGUGGGACCAGCUUCCCCGCUCGCCUCUGCUACCAACGCCAACAAGAGAACCGACUUUGCGACGGGCGUUUUGAACCUUCUCUGCUUUUAACUCCGUCCACAGUUCCCUCUUCUGUGCAAACACUCUGCUGCGGCGGAGAGAUAUAGUAAAGCUACUGUAUAGGAUUUUGAAAGCAGGGCCUCUGAGAGCCUUCCAAGCCCCGUACAAGCCGGUUAUUCUCUGGCUUGUUUUCUUUGGCUUCAGGCAGGUGAGGAAACGGAGGCUCUGAAAGGGGAUGGGGGCUGCUGAGCUCUGCAGAGCCGACCGGGCCGGGAUCUGCGAUCUUUCCACGUAGCCGCCUCUCCGUUGCCCAGGGUUCAGGAUUGCUCUUAGGGCU